GACACUUUGAAGAAAUAGAAAAUGAUUUUUAAAAGAUUGCUUUAGAUAAAUAGAACUUGAGCUAGCAAAAGUGGCCCUUUCCAGACGUCCAGCCAGGAAACCCCAGGUGCAAGUGAAUCAGCAGACAUGUUGUCUCAUCUGAGACGGUACAAGAUCCGUGUGUCCACACACAGCCGGUCGUGGCUGAGUUCGUGGCUAUGCCUUCCUUCAGAUGUGGCCGGGCUCAGGCUGAUUCAGGGAGAAACACUGCUUCUCAUUGAGUCACAAGGCCGUCCUGGAGCUGUGCUGGACUUUGCUUGGGAUGCUGGAAUAUGGUACCACAAGGAUGUGGGUAGGAAGUUUGGAGGAACUGAGACCACAUUAAAGAAAUCUACAUUAAAAGGGGAGAGAUCGAGAGCUAUGGUAAAGAGCUGAGGAUAUUUACAAACCACAUUUGGUAAGGAACUAGAGACGAGAACAAUGAU
rnacentral:lncRNA from 1 species